rnacentral:lncRNA from 1 species
UAACCGUGCUAGCACCCUCUAUCACCAAGAGAGGGCAAUCUAUAGAAGAACUAAGGGUAUAAGACUAACAAUGGGUUAGUAUCACUCUAAAAAGGUAUUAACACACUUUGAAAUAAUGGUUACCAUUUGUGUCCUUUUAUCCAUUAGAAAUAUUUCUGGAUUUUGAUUCUUCAACAUGAUUUUCUGUAACAAUUAGUAUUUGUCAAAGUACACUUUUGACCUAUAACAUGUAUACAGUUGCACUUUUUGAAAAUAUAAUUCCAUUAAUUUUACAGUGUUUUGACUAGUGCCUAGUCUGACUUUCUUUUAUCAUUCACUUUAUUUACCCAACUAUAAGCCUGCCUAUAGGAAUGUCUUUCUCGUAGAAAGAUAUUCCUAUAGGCAGGCUUAUAGAUAUUUCUUACUUUGCAUAUUAUUAGUAAUGUCACUAGUCAAUAUAUCAAUGAGAACGUGUCAUAAAAAUUGCAUGAUUCACAAGAUUUUCUUAAGGCAAGUGCUAACAAUCUAUAAGACAGUGGAAACCUCACAUGUUUGGAAUCCACUGGGUUAUUCUCUAAAUUUCAAACUGUAGAAACUAAAAAUCCAUAUUUAAAAAUUUAAAGGAACACUCCAGGCACCAGCUUACUAUUCGGGAUUAAACCAUUCACAUUCACAAACCCCAGAGUAUACUAAUCAGCACCGGAUCGCUCUGUCCCCUGUCCUUCGUCUGCUCAAACUCUUGAAAGAGGAAGUUGCGGACAUGAAUGAGCUUCAGCCACAAAAUAAACUGAGAGAUGUAUUUUUCUCAAACUGUUGUUAUGAAUGGGGAGCUACUAACUGGCUCAGAGAGUCAGCUGACACUCUCACUCCUAAGUGUGGUCUGUUUCAAUAAUCUGAGCGGCGGUAGAACAGAGGGAAGAGUGAUUGGAAGCUGGAUACUGGAAUCUGGAGUUAAAUUGCUCAUGAAUAGUUUAACCUCUAAAGAGAAGCCAGCGCCAGGGAUCUCUUGGCAUCAUAACAACUUUUGGGCCCAUGUUUCCCUUAAAGGAUUAAUUAAUCAAAGCGGUAAACUAUAGCUCAGCUGGAUAAUUUUUCCAAAAUGGAUAUUUCAGCCUAUAUUUUGUCAGUCAGGAUUUCAUUCGCUACCAUUCAGAGCAUAGUGAAAAGUAACGUUGUUUUCUGUUUCAUAUGUUACAUAUUUACCUCAUGUUUUAAUUUUAUAAACGGAUGUGGACUGCACAACAAUCCAUACACACAAUGCCAAGUUCAGAAUCUCGCAAGACGCCAUGCACAAAAUAUUCUAGUAGCAGAAGAAUGUACAAGCACCAACUACACCUGUAUGAUUUGUAUAUCACAAUCCUAAACAUAACAUUAAACUGUAUCUAGGCAUGUGCUUGUCCAAUUAACAAAAUAUAUAAUAAAGUCACUGCACUCUCAGCCUUCCGAACCUAAAUCAAAAGUAAUUACAUGCAUUCCGUUAACGUCAUUGAAAGCCAUCACAGGUGUACUGUGCAUUUAUGAGUGGCUUCUUUUGAGUUACAUAAUAUAUGCAUGGCAUUAUCUCAUUCUUGCAGUUCUUCUAUCGUUGGUACCAGCAGGAGCUUAGAGAUUGGCUGGGACUAUCCAGCCACUUUCUGAUUGCUAUCAGCGUCAUAAAAGUCAGAUUUGAGCCUAGGCAAGAAAAAAACGAAACUUUUUUAUUAAAGCAUAAACUAUCUACAAGACGCAUAUAAAUGUCCAGCACAAUCUGAGCAGGAAUGCGAUCAUAACAUUUAAAACACUUAAAAAAUAAGUCAACCUUUCACAUAUUCUUGCUGAGGCUGUUAAUCCAAAAGAAGCAAAAACACAUGCUCAAGGGUUAUACUGCUAUAGUGAAGGGGAAAAAAAAAAAUCAACCUUCUAAUCAUUCUUCCUAAAAGACAAGAUUUGUCCCUGGACCAACACACUUUUAUUAUCGACAUCUAUACCACCUUUAAAAAAAAAAUCUGCACUACUUUAAUGAAACCAUGUCCAGCUAUUUAUCAAAACUGUCUGUAAAAGCACUGAUACAUAAGGCAUUCCACAUUUCCAUACUGGGGAUUUAUUUCUAUAACAAGUCAGAAAUGUCUGCAAAUUGUCUGUCUGCAAGUUUCUGUGUUCCCACAAAACACAAGAACAUUCUUGGAAAUCCAUUGGCUUGUAAUGUUCCAGAGCAACGAGGCAGUAUAUAGAUUGGUAAGAAUUACCAGGACUUUGCUUUGCAUUGCCACAAAUACAAGGAAGUAGAUAAUAAAUUAAUGUGUCACAUUAUAUGUCAUAAGAAAAGAAUCUUAACCACCCAUGUUGCUCUUAUGGACUUGCUUAAAAUUAAUCUACAUUGAGUGUUAAAAUGUUAAAGCAACAUUUGACUUUUGGCUUGUAGAGUACUGAACCAGACAUUAUAAUUUACAAAGCCAAAGCAAUUUCGUGUUUUUUUUCAUUGAGAACAUCCUGCAUCGGCUGCUGGUAGCCAAGAACAAUGUAAUGUUUAAUACUAUCUCCAGCUUUGAUAUCAAUAGUGAAUCGACAGUAGUAUUUUGAGAGUGGGUGUGGAGCAGCUGGGAAAUGUUAAGAUCCUUGGAUGCACAGGCUGUGAUCCAUUUGAAAUUUAAACAUUGUCAUACCAAUUCCCUAGAAAUAAGAGAAAACAAAGUCAAAAAAAUAUUUUAUUGGUAAAAAAAAAACUAAUAAAUAAAAAUCUAAUUCAUAGAAUGUACAUGCAAACACAAAACAUAUUGUUUAUUGCUGCUACGCCUUGAAAGUAGUCAAGGGUCUAAUUUUAUUUGUAGAACACUAAAGGAACACCGAGCAAAUGGACAGUGGUACAAUAAGCCUUAUAGAUUUCCUCUACAGUCAGUGCAAGUACUAGUGAUCACAUUAUCCAAUCACACAUGGAAUGAAAUAAGAUUAUCUCUCUCUGCUACAUCACAAAGGACAAAGAAUCGGUACAAUGAAAGCAAACACUAACCAAAUAUCAAAGAAUGUAAUGGAAUUUCAAGGUGUGAAUGACAUAUAAUACUAUACUGCUUUAUUCGUAUAAUGUAUUACUUUUGCAAACAUUGUAUUAUAUGUUUUGUUUGCAGAUAUUUUUAUAGUCGAGGCGUAAACCCAACAUGGCGACCGAGUUAGGUGCUUUUGUACUGCAGAGCACACACCUGAUAUGUUUCUCAUAUUCAGUGCAACCCUUUCUAUGCCAGCCUGCAGAUGGUUGGCAGAAUCAGUGUUAACUUCCUGCAUAGGAUUUUACUUGAAUCAAUGCUCACUUUGCACCUGCCUCUUAUAAAAAAAAAAAAAAAGGCCCUACUUUAUUUCCCCUAUGUCGCCUCCUUUUUACAUCCAGAGGAAAAGCACUACAGUUUCGGUUAGCUAAUGUACUUUGCUAAGAGUGUGUUGCUGUAAUUCUGCACAGUGAUUGGGGGUGUAUGCAGAACUGCUUAAAGGUGUCAUAAUAUAAUACCCACACUAUGAAAUCACAAAAAUGAAGAAUUAACAUUCAGUCGUGCCUAAGGACUAUAUUAGUAAUGUUAACAUCCUCUGCGCAAUACCUUAAAAAAAUAUUUCCCAUAACCCAAUAGUUUAGCUCCACCCCUUCCACAUGAGGAUUUAAUGUUGCACGCAGUUCUUUUGUUACAAAAAUGAAAAGGUGAUAAGAAUUAUAUCUGACACUGAUUUGCCAAGAAGCACUCGUAUUUUUUAGCUUGUAUUAUAUAUGUUGUUUUUUUUUUUUAUUCAUAGAAAGGAUAAAACAGUGAUUAUUGUUUGAAAAAGAUGGGGGGCAGGCAACUGUGCUUUCCAGGAACAUCUUGCAGGCAUCAAUCCUUGACAGCCUCCUAAUUUCAGCACAGUUGAGCUACCAACUCUAUGACUCAACAGCUACGCCUCCCAAAUCUCCCCAUAAACUACAUGGUUUAUGCCUGCCCAAUACGCAGUAUUUUCCAAUGCAAAAAUGUAUCUGCAAGCGUAGCUAAGGGCUUAGGCUAUUAGCAUAUUUUUUGGAAAGCUUCCGCACCACAUAACUAUAUACAAUUCCUCUUACAUGGGUGCAAUAAUGCUCUAGAUUUGACGCUUAAAAUAUUUAAGCAUUUACUUGCCUGCGGUAAAAGAUGAUGUGAGUGAGUCUUCUCCUUUCUUCAGUGUCGCAGUAUGUUUAAUGCAGGCUCAGUUCAUCAGCUUCUACAGUGAAAGAAAUAAUCAUUUAUUGGAUCCUCUCCUGAAACAUAGCAGGACAACAAAGACUUUUCAGUUCUAGUUUGCAUAAAGGAGCGGCCUGAAAAGUCAUGCAUGGCAAACGUAUUC